rnacentral:rRNA from 1 species
UACGAAGGGGGCUAGCGUUGUUCGGAAUCACUGGGCGUAAAGCGCACGUAGGCGGAUCUUUAAGUCAGAGGUGAAAGCCUGGAGCUCAACUCCAGAACUGCCUUUGAUACUGGGGAUCUCGAGUCCGGGAGAGGUGAAUGGAACUGCGAGUGUAGAGGUGAAAUUCGUAGAUAUUCGCAAGAACACCAGUGGCGAAGGCGGCUCACUGGCCCGGUACUGACGCUGAGGUGCGAAAGCGUGGGGAGCAAACAGGG